rnacentral:rRNA from 1 species
UUAAACGGCCGCGGUAUCCUAACCGUGCAAAGGUAGCGUAAUCACUUGUCCCCUAAAUAGGGACUAGUAUGAAUGGUUAAAUGAGGAUAGACCUGUCUCUCAUGGAAAAUCAGUGAAACUGAACUCCCAGUACAAAUGCUGGAAUAUACACACAAGACGAGAAGACCCUGCGGAGCUUUUAAACAACCCUCAAACAAUAAAUUGAGCACGAGUUUUCAGUUGGGGCGACUUCGGAACAGAACCAAGCUUCCGAGCAUAAGAGGUCUCUUGCAACGGCUAACAAGCCAAAGCACUAAAAAUGACCCGGACCCGAUUAACGAACCAAGUUACCCCAGGGAUAACAGCGCUAUCUUCUUUUAGAGUCCAUAUCAACAAGUAAGGCUUACGACCUCGAUGUUGGAUCAGGACAC